GGGGUUUACAAUGACAAGACUAAUUUCUCUCUUCUGUUCCCUGUUCAUGGUGGAUUGGUGGGGUCUCUGUUCCAGAUUCUCAAUCUGGGACUCAGGCAGCCAAUACCUGGAACAUGGAUGGCCUUAGUGGCAGGGGAAAGGAAAGUCCUAGAAGAUCUCACAUCAGCAGGGUCAGAUGAACUGCCUCAAGGAGAAUUUUGAUUGAUGGAGUCCACUUCCAGGAUGACUGUGGAGGAUGCCUGUAUGUUCUGCACUGGAAAAUGGUUCCCACGAGCAUGUCACUAACCAUUUCCUGGGCCUUAUCACUGGGAGGAAAAAAAGGAGCGCCUUUGAAAAGUGGAAACAAAACAUCAAGCCCCAUUGUUGUGUGACUUCCCUGCCCACAAUCUGGGCUCUCCAUCACUCGACACGCAGAGACUACAAACAUGGCCUAAUACAGAUACUCCAAUCGGCAAUUUGAAGAGGAUAUUUAUUGUUCUGUAUCUGCAAUCUCUGCUCUGUGUGUUUGUGUCUUUUAACUCAUCCUUUUCAUUCCUCUCUGUUGACUCAGAACAAGUCAAAAGCCUCUAACGGCCAUAGUCACUGGAAAAGGCAACUGAGUCAAUUUGCAAACUUUGAUGUGCCUUCUUGUUCAUUGGGAACUCACAGUGGAGAGAGCCUUGUUCACCAAGCUCACUUUGUCCUUUUUCACCCUCUUAUCUUCUUCACAUUUUUUUUAAACUUUUUCUCUUUCUUCCAUUCUGUCUCAGUCUUUCCCUCUCUGAUCCAUUUGUUAACUCUCACUCCUUACCUAAAUGAUCAAGUAGAAGAGGGCACUUCUGGUUAAUUUCUCAGAAUGAAUGAGAGGGGACAGAGGACUUUAUUUAUAUUGCCAUAAGGAGCCUACAUUGAGGGAGGCUUCCCAGGGGCAGCACCUGAAGGAGCAAAACCUUCCCAAGCCAGUAUCAUUGUCUCUCUUGGGCUGGACCUGUCAGUGAAUUUCUAUAUCCUUCCAGCAUAGUGAUCUUAUCAAAGAUAAGAUGCACAUGAUUCUGGACUAUUAUAUAUGAGAACCUUCAGAGGUGAACUAGUCAAAGCCCUUAUUUUUAUGGAGGAAGAGGCAGCAGACGCUCUGAGAGUGAAGUGACUGGUUCAACACCAUACAGUGACUUGGUGAUUGCCAGGACUAGAAGCCAGGUCUACCCAGCUUCCUGACCAUUGCCAGGAAAUGCUGUGCCCUAGCUGUGUCUCAAGAUCUCUCUGAGAGUCUUUGUGAUACAUUCCCAUUUUAGGUGUCUAUCUAAGAUGGGGACUUAAAAGUCAUCCAUUGGUCCCACCUUAGGGACCACUAAGGAGCAUUUCCUAGCAUAGCACAAAGUGGCUAAGAGCACAGACUUUGCAUACAGAAAACCCAGGCUAGAAUCUUGGCUCUGCCAUUUAUUAGCUGUGUGACCCUGGGUAAGUCACUAAACCCUGCUAUGUCCCACAUUCUUUACUUGCACAAGUAGAACUUGCCUCCUAGAGUCUUUGAGAAUUAAGUGCUUUCAAUUAUAUACAGUGCUUGGGAUAUAGCACACACCCUAUACAAUUUUUUUUUUUUUUUUUUUUUUUUGAGACGGAGUUUCACUCUUGUUGCCCAGGCUGGAGUGCUUUGGCGCCAUCUCAGCUCACUGCAACCUCCACCUCCCAGGUUUAAGUGAUUCUCUUGCCUCAGCUUCCCAAAUAGCUGGGAUUACAGGCAUGCGCCACAAAGCCCGGCUAAUUUCGUAUUUUUAGUAGAGAUGGGGUUUCUCCAUGUUGUCCAGGCUGGUCUUAAACUCCCGACCUCAGGUGAUCGGCCCACCUCGGCCUCCCAAAGUGCUGGGAUUACAGGUGUGAGCCACUGCGCCCGGGCACACUGUAUAAAUUUUAACUAUUGAAGAGUUCCCAGAAGAAAAGCUUGUGUUAAAAUCCAUUUUUAUAUCAACCAUACACCCAUCUUGUUAUCUUUUAAAUACGGACUUCGCAGAGAUUUUCAUACAGUAGAGUUCUUGUAUAUGCACAUUCUAGUUGAUUCCAAUGCUAGGGCUCCUGCUCACCCCUGCAAUACAGGCACUUGCCUUCCACCCAAUAAACAUGUAUUUAUCUGUUUAACAGUGUAUGUGGAACACAUACUCUGUACUAGUCACUGUGCGUACUCCUUGCCCCUGUGGUCAGUUGCAAGAGAUAACAUUAAACAAAUAACCACACUAAUAAAUAUGCAAGUACAAACUGUGACAUGAAGGAAAAGUACAGAGUGUGAUUAGAAGUUACAUUAGGGGACCAAUUCUAAGUUGAGAGUUUAAGAAAGGCAUCCCUAAGAGAGUGAAAUUUAAGUUGAGGUUUAAAAGAAUGACAGAAGGUGGCCAAGUCAGUAGCCAGAGAGCACCCAGGCAGAGGCAGUUGGGACCACCUGAGGAACUGACCAGGGAAGAAAGAAAGACUGGCAUAAGGGGGGCACAGAGAAAAGCAGGAAGGCCGGGCAGUCCACCAAGGGUACACUGAUAACUCAAGGCUGCAACUGAUUUUGGAAUUUCCCCCUUUAAAGUCAGUACAAAUACUUUAAUAGUUUCUGAAUAGACCUUGGCUGGUGAGUUAGAGAAUGGAUAGAGCAAGGCAAUUAGGAGUGCAAGAAAGAAGCUCUAGAUCUAGUCCAGGUUAGAGAGAAGAGGAGCUUGGACUGGCAUGAUGGAUGUAGAAAUAGAGACAAAAACUCUGGGCAUAUUUUGAGUAGAAUCUAUAAAACUUGGUAAUGAUUAGACUAUGGUGGGGAAGAGAGAUGGAUGAGUUAAGGAUGCUUCUGAGAUGAGCAUCUGGACUCAUGGAGCUUCCACCUACUGAAAAGGGGAAACCUAGAGGGAGAUCUGGGGAUCAAGGGCUCUAGCUGUAUUUGAGAUGCAAAGUAGGCAGUGGGAUUCUUGAAUCUGGAGCUUAGAGUAGCAGUCCAGGCUGGAGAUGUACAUUUGGGUAUUAAUUACAUUUUAUGCACUGUGAAUGAAAGACUGAAUGAACAAAGUGAUCAUACUAAGAUUUGAACUCAGAUUUGCCUGACUUAAAAGUUAAUAUUUUAUGCACUAUCCAAUCACCUUCCAGUCAACUGAAUUCAAUUAAAAUUGUGGCUUUUCCAGUAUCCAGAGACUGUCCAGUCCAGGGGGAAAUGUGAUGAAUGCCAAGUCCAGAGAGAAGGCUAGAUUCUCAGAAGAGUUCUUGAGAAUGGGCAGAAUCUGAGAGUCCCAAAGGCUAGGGGUUCUGGCAUAACUUCUGGAGAUGCAUAGGAAGAAGCUAAGUCUUGGGGGAUGUAGUGACCCUUCACACCCUCAAACUUUACUGGGCCAAAACUCUCCUAGAGUAGACAUUCAUAAGAUUGUUUUGAGACAAUUUAUUGGAAAGAACCUAAUACAGUGCUGAGCACAUAGAAGAUGCUCAGUUGUCAGGCUGGGCUGCACUAGAUCGCAAGAACAAACAAUCCCAAAAUCUCAGUGACUUAACAGAGUCCAUAUGAAUCAGACAGUGUUCCUGAAGGCAUUUUUCCAACAGUGACUCAGGGAUCAGGGCUAUUUUCAUCUUUCAACUCUGGUUAUGUCAACUGUCUUCACUUCUCCCACUGGUAAGAAACUGGGGAAUUCACACCUGUUCUUACCAGCUUCCAACUGGGGCAACACAAAUGACUUCUACUCUCAGCCUGUUGAUCUGGCAAGCAUCCCAAUAUAGCUGCAAAGGAGGCCAGGCAAGGGCUAGGGGAGCAUGUAGAGAUUCUGUGAGGCUUCAUUUUCUGUGCUUACUCAGCAAAUGCUCGUGCUGUCUCCUUCUUCUGGUGAAAGGAUGAAGCAAGGAAGAGGACUGGAAGAUCCAAGUGGGAGAUGAGGUGGUCAAGGCUGAGGACGAUGGAGUUGGAGCAGGGACCCUAGACCCUAGACCCUAGACCCUAGUCAGAUCUUUGACUCUAAGAGCUAGGAUCAGAAAUCUGUGCCUGGAACUUAGUCCGUUUCUAAGCAUAAAAAAUGUGUUUUCUCCUAUUCUCUAUGUUUGUCUCUCUCAGCAUUCUCAUUGGAAAAUACUGGAAAAUAAAGGGGAAGUUAAAGUAAUUUACUGUCACAGUCUGAGGUCUGUGCUCUCCAGUGACUUUUGCCACCCACGAUCCGUAAGGAAAGGAUGUCUGAGAGAUUGGGGCAAGACCGUUCCCUGAAUGAGCCAGAUCCUAAGGAGCCCACAUCCAGGAAACUGUCCAGGGGCAUCACCUAAAGGAGCA
rnacentral:lncRNA from 10 species